rnacentral:rRNA from 1 species
CGGCAACAGCUCAAAUUUGAAAUCUGGCCUCACGGUCCGAGUUGUAAUUUGUAGAGGAUGCUUCGAGUGUGGUCCGGCCUAAGUUCCUUGGAACAGGACGUCAUAGAGGGUGAGAAUCCCGUAUGCGGCUGGGUGCCUAAGCUCAUGUGAAGCUCCUUCGAC